CUCACACUUGGACCGCGACGACGUUUCAACUUGACGUUCAUAGUGGCCAAUGUGUCAAAAGCUAUCAUUGGCGCCGAUUUCAUCUCGCGCUGCGGUCUCAUCAUCGACAUCAAGGUGAAUGGGAGAAGGAAGUUUACCGGUUUUCGGGUGGCGAAUGUGCUUAAUAAAUACAAAAAAAAUAAACAAUGAGCCAAAUAUGUGAACGGCCAUCAUACCACGAAAUGCUACGGUUGCUCACAUUCUCGGAGCAAAGGACAUCGUGCUGCAUCUCAACCGCAAUAAAAAGGU